UACAGAGGGGGCAAGCGUUAUUCGGAAUUAUUGGGCGUAAAGGGCGCGUAGGCGGCUUUGCAAGUGACGGGUGAAAUCCCUCGGCUUAACCGAGGAACUGCCUGUCAGACUGCAUGGCUUGAGACCGGGAGAGGUGAGUGGAAUUCCCAGUGUAGCGGUGAAAUGCGUAGAUAUCGAGAGGAACACCUGCGGCGAAGGCGGGUUGCUGGGCCGACACUGACGUGAUGACGCGAAAGCCAGGGGAGCGAACGGG
rnacentral:rRNA from 1 species